AGACACUUCCCGGUGCCGUUCGGAAUUGAUGGAAAAUCUCAGAAUGGGAGGGUGAGACAAGCGUGACACCCAAGCGUCGAGGAUUGAAAUCGUGGAAACACUUUGUGUUGGAGGUCCCAGAAAACAGGAGCAUUACCACAGACAAAAGAAAUUACUCAGGAUGUCACAAACAGCAGGCAAACAACAUGGAAACAGAGGAGAAAGACAAAGACGAGGCACUGACAAGGCUAAAAAAAGGCAACAGAUCU